CGUGAGUAACCUGCCCCUGACUCUGGGAUAAGCGUUGGAAACGACGUCUAAUACUGGAUAUGAUCACUGGCCGCAUGGUCUGGUGGUGGAAAGAUUUUUUGGUUGGGGAUGGACUCGCGGCCUAUCAGCUUGUUGGUGAGGUAAUGGCUCACCAAGGCGACGACGGGUAGCCGGCCUGAGAGGGUGACCGGCCACACUGGGACUGAGACACGGCCCAGACUCCUACGGGAGGCAGCAGUGGGGAAUAUUGCACAAUGGGCGAAAGCCUGAUGCAGCAACGCCGCGUGAGGGAUGACGGCCUUCGGGUUGUAAACCUCUUUUAGUAGGGAAGAAGCGAAAGUGACGGUACCUGCAGAAAAAGCACCGGCUAACUACGUGCCAGCAGCCGCGGUAAUACGUAGGGUGCAAGCGUUGUCCGGAAUUAUUGGGCGUAAAGAGCUCGUAGGCGGUUUGUCGCGUCUGCUGUGAAAUCCCGAGGCUCAACCUCGGGCUUGCAGUGGGUACGGGCAGACUAGAGUGCGGUAGGGGAGAUUGGAAUUCCUGGUGUAGCGGUGGAAUGCGCAGAUAUCACGAGGAACACCGAUGGCGAAGGCAGAUCUCUGGGCCGUAACUGACGCUGAGGAGCGAAAGCGUGGGGAGCGAACAGGAUUAGAUACCCUGGUAGUC
rnacentral:rRNA from 1 species